AAUCAACGCUGGCGGCGUGCCUAACACAUGCAAGUCGCACGAGAAAGGGACUUCGGUCCUGAGUAAAGUGGCGCACGGGUGAGUAACACGUGAAUCAUCUACCUUCGAGUGGGGAAUAACUGAGAGAAAUCUUAGCUAAUACCGCAUGAAGCCUGAGGGCCAAAGGCGCAAGUCGCCUGGAGAGGAGCCUGCGUACGAUUAGCUUGUU
rnacentral:rRNA from 1 species